rnacentral:rRNA from 1 species
AGUGAGGGAGAGGCAGAUGGAAUUGGUGGUGUAGGGGUAAAAUCCGUAGAUAUCACCAAGAAUACCCAUUGCGAAGGCGAUCUGCUGGAACUCAACUGACGCUAAGGCGCGAAAGCGUGGGGAGCAAACAGGAUUAGAUACCCUGGUAGUCCACGCCCUAAACGAUGUACACUAGUUGUUGGGGUGCUAGUCAUCUCAGUAAUGCAGCUAACGCAUUAAGUGUACCGCCUGGGGAGUACGGUCGCAAGAUUAAAACUCAAAGGAAUAGACGGGGACCCGCACAAGCGGUGGAGCAUGUGGUUUAAUUCGAAGAUACGCGAAGAACCUUACCUGGGCUUGAUAUCCUAAGAACCUUUUAGAGAUAAGAGGGUGCUAGCUUGCUAGAACUUAGAGACAGGUGCUGCACGGCUGUCGUCAGCUCGUGUCGUGAGAUGUUGGGUUAAGUCCCGCAACGAGCGCAACCCACGUAUUUAGUUGCUAACGGUUCGGCCGAGCACUCUAAAUAGACUGCCUUCGUAAGGAGGAGGAAGGUGUGGACGACGUCAAGUCAUCAUGGCCCUUAUGCCCAGGGCGACACACGUGCUACAAUGGCAUAUACAAUGAGACGCAAUACCGCGAGGUGGAGCAAAUCUAUAAAAUAUGUCCCAGUUCGGAUUGUUCUCUGCAACUCGAGAGCAUGAAGCCGGAAUCGCUAGUAAUCGUAGAUCAGCCAUGCUACGGUGAAUACGUUCCCGGGUCUUGUACUCACCGCCCGUCACACCAUGGGAGUUGAUUUCACUCGAAGCCGGAAUACUAAACUAGUUACCGUCCACAGUGGAAUCAGCGACUGGGGUGAAGUCGUAACAAGGUAACCGUAGGAGAACCUGCGGUUGGAUCACCUCCUUU